CACAAAAGGUCAAAACCAUGGAAAAGUCUAUUUGGUGAUUACCAGGUCCAAAACGAAUUUGCAAAAGUAGGAAGCAGUGAAGCAGUCUCGCUUUUCUUUGGAAAAACAUCAAACAGAAGACAAUGAAUAUAUACGGAGUGUAUAUAAUGCAAAACACAAACCCAAAACUUGAAAGAAAAGGAAAAGCAAAAACAAACUUGUCUCUGAUAAUGGCCAAUCACCCAUCUCCUCUAUUCUUCAUUGUUCUCCAUUCUUGAUCAUUCUUUACUCAGGUAUAAGAAAAUGAGUAAAAAUAACCUACAAUGGAAGCUUAUUGCCUUUGGUGAAUAUGGAGUAUCCAAGAAGUUUAACCCAACAAAACUUCUGGAAUUUAGCUACCUCGAGUAUUUUGACACCGCAAUAGGAGCGAAGUAAUCCACCCUCUUUGGGAAGUUUUAACUCUUUGAGAAAGGAUUCUGUCAAACGAAAGAGUAAUACUCAGAGCCUAAUGAUCUGGUACAGUACAACACAGUCUUGGAGUCCUAAUUGAAUGUAAGGGGUGGAAAUAAACGUGCUCACUGCUAUGUCCACGUCCAAGAAAUUCCACUUUAAUCAUAUUACUGUAUCACUUACACCACAUUAUCAAGCAUCGUUUCGCUAAGCUGAACUACUUUCCAUUUUGUAACCAUUUAGAUUACUGCUCCUUGGUUGUUGUUGUUGAUUUUAAUGACCUUUCAGAUUACUAUAACUCCUCAAGUUUCCCUACUUUGAGAGGAACAAAGACGAGCGUGGUUUUAUAGCAAUUAAGAGUCCUAAUAGGAAUUAAUAAGGAUUGUUAUUUAAUUACUAUGAAGUGUUUUUACAUAUUUGUACCUUAAUAUUAAAAUGAUCAUUUUAUUUUUAAAGGGUAAAAA